CAAGCACCGAGACCAAGAACUUGGCAGAGACCAGAGGGGUCCCAUCACCAGAGGCUGAAAUAACAGGAAUUAUAUGGAGCCUGCUGUGAGCAAGAGAUAAAGGGCAUGGAGGUUCUCGGGAAUGGGGGUGGAAGAAGAGAGGGGCUGUAUCUACAGGUGUGAAACCAUCCGAUCCAGACCAGCAGCAGUUGAGAGCUCUAUGCUUUGCCUACAUGCUCUAUGCUUAUGGAAGGUCCCCAGAGCGAAGCCUUGUCAGUUUUGGAACAGGCUGAAGGAACAGGGCAAGGACCGUGCCUAACUUAUCAUCAACCCCACACCAAGAUCGAUGUUGCUGAAAUACACGUCUGAAGUUAUACCUAA
rnacentral:lncRNA from 1 species